UCCACGCAUACUCAACCUUCUAUAGAAAUUCCAGCAUGUAUACUGCCGUUGUAAGCAUACCUCUAAAAGAAUAAGUAUGCAACUAUGACUAUAACUCAUAUACAUCAGGUCAAAGUGCAGCUAAUGAAAAGGUGAUGAUGGGUUACAACCCAAAAAUAGAUUAUCAGCCAAGAAAUAAAAAAUCUUAAGAAAGUGGACUUGGCUGUAAUUAAUUUACAAGUUAAAAAAAUGAAUAAGCUCUAAGACAUGCACACAUCGCCCGUCACUCUACCCUAAAGGGUAGAUAAGUCGUAACAAAGUAGGUGUAAUGGAAAUUGCACCUGUCGGGGUAUAGCAUAUCCAAUGCUUUCUACUUACACUAGAACCAAAGUUACAAACUUACUUCGCCCACAAAAUAAGAUCUUAUAAAAAUAUAAAUAAUAUAAACAACUUUAUAAUUAAUAAUAAGUAAAUAAGUACAGAAAUGGAAUAAAUAUUAAAUAACAGUAACUUUUAACAAUUGUACCUUGUGCAUUAUGGUUUUACAAGAAAUUAAUUAAUAAUAUAGAUCCCGAAUUCUAAAUGAGAUGUUAAAUUACCGUUAAGAACCCACUAAUAUCUGUAGAAAAAGAUUUAAAAGAUAGUUUAACAGAGGCUACAUACCAUUCGCAUGAGAAUAUAGCUGGUUUUCAACAAAUAUUAUAAAUUAAAACAUAUAAUUAUAUUAUAAUGUUAUAUUAUUGAGGAUAAGCCCAAUAAUAUUAAGCAAUUCAUAUCUCACCUAAUAUUUAUUAUAGGCCUAAAAUCAGCCAACUAAAGUACUUUACCGUAUCAAAUAAUGAUAAAAUAUAUAACAAGUCAUGCUAAAUAAAGUUGAAGUGAUAAAUAAAUUAAAAAUAUAUCUACACUAUGUAAAAAUAAGUAUUAUGAAAUAUAACUACAUUAAUCUAGAAAUAACAAUAAAUAAUAAAUAAUAAUUAAUUAAGGAACUCGGCAAACUAUUAUUUCGACUGUUUAACAAAAACACUGUCUUAUGAACA
rnacentral:rRNA from 1 species